rnacentral:rRNA from 1 species
UGAAAGAUGAUCAGGUUGAUAGGUCUGAGGUGGAAGUGUGGCGACACAUGGAGCUGACAGAUACUAAUCGAUCGAGGACUUAACCACAUUU